rnacentral:antisense_RNA from 1 species
AACAAAGUCGCCAUCGUUAUUCUCCUUCUGAUAACACAUACGAAAAUAGUGUAAAUCUUUUAACGUAUUGGAUACAGAGAAUAAAUAAGGGAAUAAAAAUGAGGAGACCAGACUAAGAAAAUCUGGUGCGUCCGAGUGGACUCGAACCACCGACCCCCACCA